rnacentral:rRNA from 1 species
GAUGAACGCUGGCGGCGUGCCUAAUACAUGCAAGUUGAGCGAUGAAGCUUGGUGCUUGCACCAAUUUGAAUAGCAGCGAACGGGUGAGUAACGCGUGGGGAAUCUGCCUUUGAGCCUGGGACAACAUCUGGAAACGAAUGCUAAUACCGCAUAACAACUUUAAACAUAAGUUUCAAGAUUGAAAGAUGCAAUUGCAUCACCCAAAAGUGAUACCGCGUUGCAUUAGCUAGUUGGUAAGGUAAAGGCCUACCAAGGGAAGGAUACUUAGCCGACCUGGGAGGGGGACCGCCCAAAUGGGACUGAGAAACGGGCCCAGACCCCACGGGGAGGAGCAAUAGGGAAACUUUGGCAAUUGACGAAAGUCUGGCCGGGGAAAGCCGGGUGAGGGGAGGAGGGUUUCGGAACGGUAAAAUCCGUUGGUUGGGAAGAACGAUAGGGGGAGUGGAAAGCGCAUCAAGUGACGGUAACUACUCAGAAAGGGACGGCUAACUACGUG